rnacentral:rRNA from 1 species
UCCGGAAUUAUUGGGCGUAAAGAGCUCGUAGGCGGUUUGUCGCGUCGGCUGUGAAAACUCGGGGCUUAACUCCGGGCCUGCAGUGGGUACGGGCAGACUAGAGUGCGGUAGGGGAGACUGGAAUUCCUGGUGUAGCGGUGAAAUGCGCAGAUAUCAGGAGGAACACCGAUGGCGAAGGCAGGUCUCUGGGCAUUAACUGACGCUGAGGAGCGAAAGCAUGGGGAGCGAACAGG